rnacentral:rRNA from 1 species
CCCUAGUAACGGCGAGUGAAGCGCAACAGCUCAAAUUUGAAAGCUGGCUCUCGGGCCCGCAUUGUAAUUUGCAGAGGAUGCUUCUGGCGACGCGCCUUCCGAGUUCCCUGGAACGGGACGCCAUAGAGGGUGAGAGCCCCGUCCGGUCGUGCGCCUAGCCUCUGUGAAGCUCCUUCGACGAGUCGAGUAGUUUGGGAAUGCUGCUCAAAAUGGGAGGUAUACGUCUUCUAAAGCUAAAUACCGGCCAGAGACCGAUAGCGCACAAGUAGAGUGAUCGAAAGAUGAAAAGCACUUUGAAAAGAGAGUUAAAAAGUACGUGAAAUUGUUGAAAGGGAAGCGCUCAUGACCAGACUUGGGCUGGCCCGAUCAUGCGGCGUUCUCGCCGGUGCACUCGGCCGCCCAGGCCAGCAUCACUUUCGCCGGGGGAUAAAGGCGGCGGGAAUGUGGCUCCCUCGGGAGUGUUAUAGCCCGCCGUGCAAUACCCUGGUGGGGGCUGAGGUUCGCGCGUAUGCACGGAUGCUGGCGUAAUGGUUAUCAGCGACCCGUCUUGAAACACGGACCAA